rnacentral:rRNA from 1 species
AUUGAACGCUGGCGGCAUGCCUUACACAUGCAAGUCGAACGGUAACGGGCCUUCGGGUGCCGACGAGUGGCGAACGGGUGAGUAAUGUAUCGGAACGUACCUUUCAGUGGGGGAUAACGUAGCGAAAGUUACGCAAAUACCGCAUAUUCUGUGAGCAGGAAAGCAGGGGAUCGCAAGAACUUGCGCUGAUUGAGCGGCCGAUAUCAGAUUAGCUAGUUGGUGAGGUAAAGGCUCACCAAGGCGACAAUCUGUAGUGGGUCUGAGAGGAUGAUCCGCCACACUGGAACUGAGACACGGUCCAGACUCCUACGGGAGGCAGCAGUGGGGAAUUUUGGACAAUGGGGGCAACCCUGAUCCAGCCAUGCCGCGUGAGUGAAGAAGGCCUUCGGGUUGUAAAGCUCUUUCGGCCGGGAAGAAAUCGUAUCAGCUAAUACCUGGUGCGGAUGGCGGUACCGGCAUAAGAAGCACCGGCUAACUACGUGCCAGCCGCCGCGGUAAGAC